rnacentral:rRNA from 1 species
AUGGAACAAUGUAGGCAAGGGAAGUCGGCAAAACAGAUCCGUAACUUCGGGAAAAGGAUUGGCUUUGAGGAUUGGGCUUGGGGGUCCCGGCCCCGAACCCGUCGGCAGUCGGCGGAUUGCUCGAGCUGCUCACGCGGCGAGAGCGGGUCGCCGCGUGCCGGCCGGGGGACGGACCGGGAAUCGUCCCUUCGGGGGCUUUCCCCGAGCAUGAAACAGUCGACUCAGAACUGGUACGGACAAGGGAAAUCCGACUGUUUAAUUAAAACAAAGCAUUGCGAUGGUCCUCGCGGAUGCUGA